AAAGCGGUGGUUAAGGGUAAACACCGGUACCAUACAAGUUUUCGCAUUACCAGCCAGGUCAACGGAAACUUACUACAGGAACUUAUGCCGGAGAUAUCGGUUCGAAUCCGAUCCGCUUUA
rnacentral:tRNA from 1 species